AAUGUUGCAGAGAACAAGUCCUGAUGCUAUUGUAGUCAGCGCAUUGCAUUGGCGAUGUUGGAGGAUGAGUGCAGUAUUUAGUUUGUUUAGGUGGUUGUUGUUUCAAAAAUGCUUGUGAAAGUUGCUUGUCAAUGUCAGACAGCAUCCUCAACUGCUACAAUUUAUAGAUCUAGUUAAUAUUGAUGUUCUAGCGUUCUACUGUGUUAAUUAUUCAUUCGAGGAGUUUUAAUUAUGUGGACUUGGGAAUUUGACUGGAUGUGGGUAUAUUUUAUGAUAAUAAAAUUGGUGACAUUACAAAA